GUGGGGAAUCUUGCGCAAUGGGCGAAAGCCUGACGCAGCCAUGCCGCGUGAAUGAUGAAGGUCUUAGGAUUGUAAAAUUCUUUCACCGGGGACGAUAAUGACGGUACCCGGAGAAGAAGCCCCGGCUAACUUCGUGCCAGCAGCCGCGGUAAUACGAAGGGGGCUAGCGUUGCUCGGAAUUACUGGGCGUAAAGGGCGCGUAGGCGGACAGUUUAGUCAGAGGUGAAAGCCCAGGGCUCAACCUUGGAAUUGCCUUUGAUACUGGCUGUCUUGAGUACGGGAGAGGUGAGUGGAACUCCGAGUGUAGAGGUGAAAUUCGUAGAUAUUCGGAAGAACACCAGUGGCGAAGGUGACUCACUGGCCCGUUACUGACGCUGAGGCGCGAAAGCGUGGGGAGCAAACAGGAUUAGAAACCCGGGUAGUCC
rnacentral:rRNA from 1 species